AUACGGAGGGUGCAAGCGUUAUUCGGAAUCACUGGGCGUAAAGGACGCGUAGGCGGGUUGGCAAGUCAGAUGUGAAAUCCUACAGCUUAACUGUAGAACUGCAUUUGAAACUGCUAACCUAGAGUAUGGGAGGGGGAGAUGGAAUUAGUGGUGUAGGGGUAAAAUCCGUAGAUAUCACUAGGUAUACCGAAAGCGAAGGCGAUCUCCUGGAACAUAACUGACGCUAAGGCGUGAAAGCGUGGGGAGCAAACAGGAUUAGAAACCCUAGUAGUCC
rnacentral:rRNA from 1 species